GAAAAAGCAGUUCUAGGGUUUUGAAGCAGAAAAAUAGAGUAUUUAUUUGUUCUUGUUGUGUUUUUUCAUUCAUCUCGAAAACAUUGGUUUAUCAAUUCUUGAAACUAUGCCUCCAAAAUCAGUGAGAAAGACGGCUUCAGGUUCUGGAUCCAAAAGAGGUGGCCGUACACCUCGUGGUACGCCAAAGUCUCAGGCAAAGUCUGUUAAGGUAGAGGAACCAAUGGAAGUACAGGACAAAGAUAAGGCGGUGGAGGAGGUAUCUGAAGAAAAGCCUGAGCUUAAAAUCACGCAAUCGGAGCCUGAGGAACCGGCUGAAACUGCAUUGAAUGUGAAUGCUGUGGGAAAGGGGGCGGUUUCAGAGAAGAAGAAGGACAAUUUGAAAGAAUCAGUCGAUCACUAUGAAAAGGGGGAGCGAUUAGAUUUGGGGGAUAAUGACCCUGAAUAUGAACCUGAAGAGUAUGGCACAGUUGAUUAUGAUGAGAAUGGGAUUGAACACGACGGUGUUCAGGAAGAGGGAAAUGAAAUAGAGGAAGAACCUGAAGAGGCAGAUGUUGGUGAAGAGGAAGAGGGUGACAUGGCGGAAGAGGAUGUUGAAGAUGUUCAUGAGGAAAAUGAGGGUGAUGAAGAAGAUGAGCAUGCUGAGAUGGCUGAUGCAGCAGAGGAGGAAGAACAUCAUGAAGUUGUUGACGAAAGGCGUAAGCGGAAGGAAUUUGAAAUAUUUGUUGGUGGCCUUGACAAGGAUGCUACCGAGGAGGAUCUCAGAAAGGUCUUCAGUAAAGUUGGCGAGAUUACUGAAGUGAGGCUUCUGAUGAAUUCUCAGACAAAGAAAAAUAAAGGAUUUGCAUUCCUGCGAUUUGCCACUGUUGAACAAGCAAAAAGAGCUUGUACUGAGCUGAAAACCCCAGUGAUCAAUGGAAAACAGUGUGGUGUCUCUCCAAGUCAAGACAAUGAUACUUUGUUUUUGGGUAACGUAUGCAAGACCUGGACAAAAGAAGCUUUAAAAGAGAAGCUGAAGCAUUAUGGUGUUCACAAUAUAGAGGAUUUGACGUUGGUCGAAGACACUAAUAAUGAGGGAAUGAAUCGAGGAUUUGCUUUCUUGGAGUUCUCUUCACGUUCAGAGGCCAUGGAUGCUUUUAAGCGGUUACAGAAGAGAGAUAUUGUAUUUGGAGUUGAUAGGCCCGCAAAGGUUUCUUUUGAGGAUUCAUUCAUUGAUCCUGGGGAUGAAAUCAUGUCACAGGUUAAAACAGUGUUUAUUGAUGGUCUUGCUGUAUCCUGGAACGAGGACCAUGUGCGGGAGCUUCUUAAAGAAUAUGGAAAGAUAAGAAAAGUUGAGCUUGCCAGAAAUAGGCCUUCAGCCAAGAGAAAGGACUUUGGAUUUGUCACCUUUGACACUCAUGAGGCUGCAGUUACAUGUGCUAAAAGCAUUAAUAAUGAGGAAUUUGGUGAAGGAGAUAACAAGGUUAAAGUAAGGGCCAGACUAUCGAGACCCCUGCAUAUGGGUAGAGGGAAAUAUGGUGGACGAGGAGAGUUCCGACCUUGGCGUAUGCCUAUGCAUGGUUCCCAUGCCCCUUGGGGUCGUACAGUGCCAUAUAGUCGUUCUAUCCGAGGGACUAGAGUUAGUACGCGUAUGCCUCCCGUAGUUAGUCGUGGUUUCAAACGACCUACAGCAUUGAGAGAUAGACAUGCAGAGAUGGCUUUGUCUCCUAGGGGCAGAUCCAUGGCUUCACCACCCAGGAGGUCAUAUGACCGGAGACCACCUGUUUCCUCAUAUCCAAAGAGUAACUUCAAGAGGGACUAUGGACGGCGCGAGGAAAUCUCUCCUUCUAGAAGCAGAGCAAUACCUGAGUAUCCUUCGAGGGUUCAUUCUGACAGACGUAUAUCCUAUAGGGAUGAGUAUUCUUCGCGUGGCUCUGGUUACCCUGAAUUGCCUAGAGGUACUCACUCUGCAGCAAGGAGAUCUUAUGUUGAUGAUGGAUAUGGGCAACGGUUUGAAAGACCCCCUCCAUCUUACCGUGAGGGACGUGGUCGUGAAUAUGAUUCUGUCUCUGGUUCGAAACGUCCAUACAUGGCAGUGGAUGAUGUUCAUCCACACUACGCUAUGGCAGGAGUGCGGCAUUCGCGUGCUCGUUUGGAUUAUGAACUAGGCAGUGCAAGUGGCUCCCAUUAUGGAGAUGCAUAUGGUGACAGUAGACUCGGGAGAUCAAAUCUUGGAUAUGGCGGCAACAGGAGCUCCAUUUCUAGGCAAGAUUCUCAUGGGAUAUACAGCAGUCGUCAGGGUAUGGACUAUGGUGGAGGUUCCUAUGGUGGAAGUGAUGUAGGUGGAUUGUAUUCGUCCAGCUAUGGUGGUGACUACAUGUCUCGUGGCAGUGAUGUUGGCUCCUCAGUUUAUUCUAGUCGUGGUAUGGGUGGCAGUGGCUAUAUGGGAAGUGGUGGUUCUGGAUCUUACUACUAAGAUUUAAGUUGACAAAAGCGCCUGCUGUUGGAUGGAUUUGCCUUAUUUUCUCCUUGUGUGUAUUUGUUGCUCCCUUAGGCAUUGUGAGACAAGUCAUCAAGACCAAGAGUGUGGAAUACAUGCCACUUCUCCUAUCAGUUUUUCUCACAUUAAGUGCUGUUAUGUGGUUCUUCUAUGGUCUUCUACUAAAGGAUAUUAACAUUGCUGCUCCAAAUGUUUUGGGGUUCAUCUUUGGAAUACUCCAAAUUAUACUCUAUGCAAUAUACAGCAAAAAGGAGAAGUCCAUCAUAAAGGAACAGAAACUUCCAGAGAUACAAAAGACUGAAGUAAUUGUGAAGGAUGAGAACAUGAAUGCAAAUAAGAAGCUUCCAGAACUCACACAAGAACAAAUUAUUGACAUAGUGAAGCUUGCAGGUUUACUGGUUGUUACUGAUAAAACAAACGUAGCCACGUGUCCAAAUGAUACUAAUUGUGGAGUUAAAGCAGUUAAUAAAAUAGAAAACAUGCCCAAGCUGCAAACAGUGGCAACUUAGUACGUACUACAUGGCAAGUCAUUUGCUUGGAAUUUGGCAUUGAAAUCUCAGUGUCAUUUAUUCCUUUGGUUAACUUUUCCUAAGUAAUAUAGUGUGUGAUGCAUGUGAAUGUUUGUACACAAGUUAUGUGUGACGAGAAUAUAAUUAAGUAAUUAAAAGUGUGUGCUCUCUAAUAGUUUAAACUAAACUUUUGGAUGAGAUGGCCGUUACAAUGGCUUAGGAUAUUCUCUGUAUGUGUGCUCAUAUUUAUGUAAUUCUAUUAAUAUGUUGUCCUAGUAAAGAAUAAUUGGU
rnacentral:misc_RNA from 1 species